rnacentral:ncRNA from 1 species
CAGAGUAGAAAACCGCGCGUUAAGUGCCUGCCGAACGGAGAGUUGUCGGCGGGACGAAAAGCGAAACGCUUGCGGUGCGGUUUUCGCAUCUCGCUG